CUAGAUGAUGGAGAUAUAUUUAUGGUGGUUCACUUUCUUCCCAUUGAUGUUAAGGACGAUGCUGAACUUAUGGACCCAAACGAUGGAAACUAAAUCCUCUUCUUAUUGCUCUGUGCUACUGAAGUGUUAGGAUUAUGACCCAGACCAUGGAACACCCCUCUUCUUACUCUGUGCUACUGAAGUGGAACUCGACAAGGCACCAGAAAGAAUUCAACGCAGAACCUAUAAACAAAAAGUUACUUGUCAUUGCCUCAUCACAACAAUUCCCUUCCACAGGUGUGUGUGACCGUGUUCCAACCAGGAUGAUGAUUUUGUUUUUUAACAACAAGGUGCUACUGAAGUGUUAGGGAUUAUCACCAUGGAAUACCCCUCUUAUUGCUCUGUGCUACUGAAGCUGAUCUCGACAAGGCACGAGAAUCCAACGUAUAAACUUUGAACAAAAAGGGAAAUGAUGAUAGUUAAUAACGUAGCUACAGUUUGAUGUAUGUCCAAUUCUGAUUCAGCAAAUUUAAAGUCAAAACAAGCCAGAGGUGGUGAAACGAAACAGGUGUGUGUGUUCCAACCACGAGGAUGUUGACUCAAAAAAUUUCAAGGACAGUACCAAGUAUAUUCAGACCAAAAACGGUUGUCGGAGGGCGUUCUUAAAAUGAUGGAGAUACAUUUAUGGUGGUUCACUUCCUCCCCAUUAAUGUUAACGUUGAUGCUGAAUUAUUGACCCAAACGAUGGCAAAGAAGUCCCUUUUCUUAUUGCUCAGUGCUACUGAAGUGUUAUGGAUUAUGACCCAGACCAUGGAACACCCCUCUUAUUGCUCUUUGGAACUCGACAAGGCACCAGAAUUCAAAGCAGCACCCUUCGAACAAAACGGUACUUGUCAUUGCCUCAUGCCAAAAAUUCCCUUCGUCAGGUGUGUGUGUUCGUGUUCCAACCAGGAUGAUGAUUUUGUUUGUGAACAACAAGGUGCUACUGAAGUGUUAAGGAUUAUGACCAUGGAACACCCCUCUUCUUGCUCUGUGGAACUCUUCAAGGCACCAGAAUUCAAAGCACUACCCUUCCCACAGGUUCUAAUGAAGUGUUAGGACUUAGGAUUAUGACCCAGACCAUGGAACACCCCUCUUCUUGCUCUGUGCUACUGAAGUGGAACUCGACAAGGCACCAGAAAUAAUUCAACGCAGAACCUAUAAACAAAAAGGUACUUGUGAUGCCUCAUGCCAACAAUUCCCUUCCACAGCCAGAUUUUUUUGGAGGAUGAAGUAGAUUCAGAGCAAAAACGGUUGCCGGAGGGCGUUCUUAAAGUAACAACUUCCAACUGAUUUUUAAAGUAUCCAACUUCUCUAGAUGACACAGAUAUAUGGAGGUUCACUUUCUUCCCAUUGAUGUUACGGAUGAUGGUGACUUAUGGACCCAAACGAUGGAAAAUAAAUCCUCUUCUCAUUGCUCUGUGCUACUGAAGUGUUAGGGAUUAUGACCAAGACCAUGGAAUACCCCUCUUCUUGCCCUGUGCUACUGAAGUGGAACUCGACAAGGCACCAGAAUUGUCUCAAGCCAAAGGCCGCAGUAAUCAUAAAAAUGUAUAAAGGGAAACGAGUGUUAAAUACUUAGCUAGCACUAGCAAUAUGAUUCAUCAAAAUCAAAGCCAUCACAAGGAAAAAGCUAAAUAAUGGAAAACUAAGACAUGUGAGCCAAUUAUUGUUUCAAAAUCAGCAAGGACUUCACCCCAUAGCACCAGCUUUUGCCUGCACCACAAAGAAGUUUCCCACAUCUGCCAUAAUUCAAGAUCUCAUUUUCUUAUUGUUGCAGGGGCUUCAUCUUCAAACAAUUGCAUUGACUAAUCAUAAUGCAGACACAUCUUCAAUAUGAGCUUCAACGGAAGUUUCUCAAGUAGAGAAUCAAAAUGUAGAACUCUGGGAUUACUUUAAGGAUUAUGAAAGUUUAGACUACCUGGUAUUUGUACUUUAGAGGGACAAUGAGUGUUAUUUACAUGCUACAGUUUAAUGUGUGUCCCAGUCCGAUGGCGACGAGAGAAACAAGAGAGACAGAGAGAGAUGGAGAGAGCAAACAGACCUGAAGGUGCUACUGAAGUUGGAACUCGACAAUGUGGAUUAUUGUCAUCCGGUUCAGAAGACCGGUUCAGGUUACGAACUGGGCUGUCGCUGUUACAUGACCGAGGUUGGGCCGUGAAGGACUUUCGGAUGUGGACCAGAACCAAGUCGGUUGGUUUGUGUUUCUUUACAAGGAAGAAAGGCAAGUUUCCAAAAGGAGAAGGAGUUGCAAACCCUAAACCUAAUUGGAAUAAGGCGGCUUCAAGGUUAUAUAUAAAGAGAAGCAAGAGUUCACAAGGAAGAGAGAGAGAAGAAUCACCAACAUAGAAGCAAGGGAGAGACAAGUUAGAGAGAGAGUUUUCGGGUUUAGAGAGCCUCUUGGUAAUCUAUUGUCUGUAAGGGCUUCGAGUAGAUAGGUUUUUUAUUCUUUUUGUUUUUGUUCUCUGGGUUGUUCUUACACUAGAAGCAUAGGUGAAUAAGCUUCAGGGUCGUGUUUCUGUCGAGUACCUAUAAGAGAGAAACAGAGAGUGUUAGAUUGAGAGACAAGAGAGAUUUGUACUAAAACUUAUACUUGGAUUUCUUUAGUGGAUAUUUGCAAGGGUCGGUCCUUGCAAGAGACGUACUCUCUGGUUUGGAGGAGAACUCGUUAAAUUUUGGUGUU